rnacentral:tRNA from 1 species
AAAGGCUUAGGCUAAUUAGACCAAAGGCCUUCAAAACCUUAAGUAGAUGUUAAAUCAUCUAGCCUUUG